CAUGUUUCAUAUGUUGGUACAGCAUCAUAUCAACAUUUGUAAUCAAAAUGCUCAAGUAUGAAUAAUUGGUGACAGGCUUUGAGCAGUAGCAGUGAGAACAGCAACAGACUACAUAAAAAAAAAAGAGAAAAAAAAAUCAAUUUCUGCACAGAAUUAUGUAGAAUUGAUAAUCGACACAGCGUUAUUUAGACAUAUGCAGUCCUGGAUGACAAAGAUGUGCCCUGAUAUUGAAUUAAGAGCAAUGUAUAGAACAGGUAGCGUAGGAACUUAUUAACACGAAAAUCUUUUCAAAUGUUUUUU